CACGUAGUUAGCCGUGGCUUUCUGGUUAGGUACCGUCAAGGUACCGGCAGUUACUCCGAUACUUAUUCUUCCCUAACAACAGAGCUUUACGACCCGAAGGCCUUCAUCGCUCACGCGGCGUUGCUCCGUCAGACUUUCGUCCAUUGCGGAAGAUUCCCUACUGCUGCCUCCCGUAGGAGUCUAGGCCGUGUCUCAGUCCCAGUGUGGCCGAUCACCCUCUCAGGUCGGCUACGCAUCGUGGCCUUGGUGAGCCGUUACCUCACCAACUAGCUAAUGCGCCGCGGGCCCAUCUGUAAGUGACAGCCGAAACCAUCUUUCAGCAUUUCCUCAUGAGAGGAAAUGCAUUAUUCGGUAUUAGCCCCGGUUUCCCGGAGUUAUCCCGAUCUUACAGGCAGGUUGCCCACGUGUUACUCACCCGUCCGCCGCUAAUCUUCGGGAGCAAGCUCCCGAAGAUCCGCUCGACUUGCAUGUAUUAGGCACGCCGCCAGCGUGUCCUG
rnacentral:rRNA from 1 species